rnacentral:rRNA from 1 species
AUAGACCUGAGUAUGGCAGGACUACCCGCCGAACUUAAGCAUAUUACUCAGCGGAGGAAAAGAAAACAACCGUGAUUCCCUUAGUCAGCGGCGAGCGAACAGGGAUCCAACUCGUUGCCGAAUCGGUCCUCAACGGACUUGAGUUGUGGCAAUAAUGAUGCUUCGUGGUUGGUGCGGGAGUGGCAAAAUUCAAGCGCAAAGCAAACCCAUUGCUGAACACAACCCUUCAUGUGAGUAUUGAGCCAGAGAAGGUGUUAGCCCAUUUAGCCAUGACCCCAGCGCCUCAUCAAGUAAUCAAGAGAGUAGCACUGUUUGGGAAUGCAGUGUCAAUCGGCAGGUAUGUGUCUGCCAAAGUUAAAUACAGAGUAGGAAGACCGAUAGCGAA